GCCACCAUUUUGGAUUUGGAGUAUUGUGAAAUAAGUUGCCCCAUGUAGAUGCGUUAUUCUGAGAGAAAACCCUUCUCUCGGAAUAACUGUUAUUCCUCAAUCUGAGGUUUAACAGUUAUUCUGAGAGAAGGGUUUUCUCUCGGAAUAAUGCAUCUACAUGGGGCAACUUAUUUCACAAUAUCCCGAAUCCAAAAUGGCGGC
rnacentral:pre_miRNA from 1 species